rnacentral:rRNA from 1 species
GACGAACGCUGGCGGCGUGCUUAACACAUGCAAGUCGAACGAAGAGCGAUGGAAGCUUGCUUCUAUCAAUCUUAGUGGCGAACGGGUGAGUAACGCGUAAUCAACCUGCCCUUCAGAGGGGGACAACAGUUGGAAACGACUGCUAAUACCGCAUACGAUCUAAUCUCGGCAUCGAGGAUAGAUGAAAGGUGGCCUCUACAUGUAAGCUAUCACUGAAGGAGGGGAUUGCGUCUGAUUAGCUAGUUGGAGGGGUAACGGCCCACCAAGGCGAUGAUCAGUAGCCGGUCUGAGAGGAUGAACGGCCACAUUGGGACUGAGACACGGCCCAGACUCCUACGGGAGGCAGCAGUGGGGAAUCUUCCGCGAUGGACGAAAGUCUGACGGAGCAACGCCGCGUGAGCGAUGACGGCCUUCGGGUUGUAAAGCUCUGUUAAUCGGGACGAAAGGCCUUCUUGCGAAUAGUGAGAAGGAUUGACGGUACCGGAAUAGAAAGCCACGGCUAACUACGUG